rnacentral:lncRNA from 1 species
CAGGGAGUGACCUUGACUGCAUCUCUCACGCAGGACGUGGGCCACACCCAGGAUCCCUGAUAUGCUUCUUGUCCCAAACAGUGUCCCCAGUCUCCAGUACUGCAUCCCAUAGCUGUGACUUUGAAUACUUUUGGAAGCUGGGCACAGUGGCCCAUGCCUGUAACCCUGCUACUUGGGAGGUGGAGGCAGGAGGAUCACAAGUUCAAGGCCAGCCUCUGCAAUUUGGGCAAAUCUGUCUUAAAAAAAUUAAAAAAGGCUGGGGUUGGAGCUGGGGGGCAGAGCACUCAGUAUGCUCAAGGCCUGGGUGCAGACGGGUUAUGAUGAAUAAAC